GACGAACGCUGGCGGCGUGCCUAAUACAUGCAAGUCGAGCGGACCGGCUUGGGGCUUGCCUUGAUUCGGUCAGCGGCGGACGGGUGAGUAACACGUGGGCAACCUGCCCGCAAGACCGGGAUAACUCCGGGAAACCGGAGCUAAUACCGGAUAACACCGAAGACCGCAUGGUCUUCGGUUGAAAGGCGGCCUUUGGGCUGUCACUUGCGGAUGGGCCCGCGGCGCAUUAGCUAGUUGGUGAGGUAACGGCUCACCAAGGCGACGAUGCGUAGCCGGCCUGAGAGGGUGACCGGCCACACUGGGACUGAGAAACGGCCCAGACUCCUACGGGAGGCAGCAGUAGGGAAACUUCCGAAAUGGGCGAAAGCCUGACGGAGCGACGCCGCGUGGGCGAAGAAGGCCUUCGGGUCGUAAAGCUCUGUUGUGAGGGACGAAGGAGCGUCGUUCGAAGAGGGCGGCGCGGUGACGGUACCUCACGAGAAAGCCCCGGCUAACUACGUG
rnacentral:rRNA from 1 species